AGAAAGCCAGCGUCUUGGUCGAGCACUGAAAGCCUGCCUCCACCUUGCAGUUAGCCAAACCACACCGGGCCUCCGUUGCCUUUGCAUAUGGACGAGCUUCCACCCCGUUCAGAGGUUACGGGGCAAGCACAGCAGUAGGGUCUCCGUUUCAUCACCUCACUACACCGAUCGCGGAGAACACAACUGCGGAAAGUUCCCGCGGGUACCUACGUUACGCCUCCUGAAUUAGACGGAAUCAGGCUCAUCGCGAAGGUCCUUGCCUCAGCGUUUUCGCCUGUAGAAAUAAUCCCGUGUCGAAGAGGAAAGAUGAAGACGACAGAUCAGAUAACAAAGGGAAUCUCCAAACAAACCCAAGCGAGAGAAGCCUACCGUGAAUCAUCCCCACCAGCAGCAGCGAGGUGUUGUGCGGAUUGCCUCGCAAGGGAGAAAAUAACAGCUUCCUCAGUUUCACGUU